GACGAACGCUGGCGGCGUGCUUAACACAUGCAAGUCGAACGCUGAAGCUUGGUGCUUGCACUGGGUGGAUGAGUGGCGAACGGGUGAGUAAUAAGUGAGUAACCUGCCCUUGACUCUGGGAUAAGCCUGGGAAACUGGGUCUAAUACUGGAUACGACAUGUCACCGCAUGGUGGUGUGUGGAAAGGGUUUUACUGGUUUUGGAUGGGCUCACGGCCUAUCAGCUUGUUGGUGGGGUAAUGGCUCACCAAGGCGACGACGGGUAGCCGGCCUGAGAGGGUGACCGGCCACACUGGGACUGAGACACGGCACAGACUCCUACGGGAGGCAGCAGUGGAGAAUAUUGCACAAUGGGCGGAAGCCUGAUGCAGCGACGCCGCGUGAGGGAUGACGGCCUUCGGGUUGUAAACCUCUCAGCACGGAAGAAGCGAAAGUGACGGUACGUGCAGAAGAAGCGCCGGCUAACUACGUG
rnacentral:rRNA from 1 species